rnacentral:rRNA from 1 species
CCUACGGGUGGCAGCAGUAGGGAAUAUUCGGCAAUGGGGGGAACCCUGACCGAGCAACGCCGCGUGAAGGAAGAAGGAAUUCGUGCUGUAAACUUCUGUUAUAAAGGAAGAAAGACGGAUGGAGGAAAUGACAUCCGAGUGACGGUACUUUAUGAGAAAGACACGGACAACUCCGUGCCAGCAGCCGCGGUAAUACGUAGGUGGCAAGCGUUAUACGGAGUUAUUGGGCGAAAAGAGGGAGCAGGCGGCAGCAAAGGUCUGUGGUGAAAGACUGGCGCUUAACUUCAGUAAGCCAUAGAAACCGGGCAGCUAGAGUUCAGGAGAGGAUCGUGGAAUUCGAUGUGUAGCGGUGAAAUGCGUAGAUAUAUGGAGGAACACCAGUGGCGAAGGCGACGAUCUGGCCUGCAACUGACGCUCAGGCCCGAAAGCGUGGGGAGCAAAUAGGAUUAGAUACCCGUGUAGUC